CCUACGGGAGGCAGCCGUGAGGAAUAUUGGUCAAUGGACGAGAGUCUGAACCAGCCAAGUAGCGUGAAGGAUGACUGCCCUAUGGGUUGUAAACUUCUUUUAUAUGGGAAUAAAACGUUCCACGUGUGGGAUUUUGUAUGUACCAUAUGAAUAAGGAUCGGCUAACUCCGUGCCAGCAGCCGCGGUAAUACGGAGGAUCCGAGCGUUAUCCGGAUUUAUUGGGUUUAAAGGGAGCGUAGGUGGAUUGUUAAGUCAGUUGUGAAAGUUUGCGGCUCAACCGUAAAAUUGCAGUUGAAACUGGCAGUCUUGAGUAAAGUAGAGGUGGGCGGAAUUCGUGGUGUAGCGGUGAAAUGCUUAGAUAUCACGAAGAACUCCGAUUGCGAAGGCAGUUCACUGGACUGCAACUGACACUGAGGCUCGAAAGUGUGGGUAUCAAACAGGAUUAGAUACCCUUGUAGUC
rnacentral:rRNA from 1 species